ensembl:piRNA 21ur-1742 ncRNA
UGGUUUCUCCGAAUGCAUCUA